rnacentral:rRNA from 1 species
UAGCCGCGGGAAUACGAAGGGUGCAAGCGGUACUCGGAAUUACUGGGCGUAAAGCGUGCGUAGGUGGUGGUUUAAGUCCGUUGUGAAAGCCCUGGGCUCAACCUGGGAAUUGCAGUGGAUACUGGGUCACUAGAGUGUGGUAGAGGAUAAUGGAAUUUCCGGUGUAGCAGUGAAAUGCGUAGAGAUCGGAAGGAACAUCUGUGGCGAAGGCGACUAUCUGGGCCAACACUGACACUGAGGCACGAAAGCGUGGGGAGCAAACAGGAUUAGAUACCCCAGUAGUCCCUGUCUCUUAUACACC